UACGAAGGGGGCUAGCGUUGCUCGGAAUUACUGGGCGUAAAGCGUGCGCAGGCGGUUGUGCAAGACAGAUGUGAAAUCCCCGGGCUUAACCUGGGAACUGCAUUGUGACUGCACGGCUAGAGUGCGGCAGAGGGGGAUGGAAUUCCGCGUGUAGCAGUGAAAUGCGUAGAUAUGCGGAGGAACACCGAUGGCGAAGGCAAUCCCCUGGGCCUGCACUGACGCUCAUGCACGAAAGCGUGGGGAGCAAACAGG
rnacentral:rRNA from 1 species